UGGCCGCGUCGACGACGAACGCUGGCGGCGUGCCUAAUACAUGCAAGUCGAGCGAGCUGAAUUCAAAGAUCCCUUCGGGGUGAUUGUUGGACGCUAGCGGCGGAUGGGUGAGUAACACGUGGGCAAUCUGCCCUAAAGACUGGGAUACCACUUGGAAACAGGUGCUAAUACCGGAUAACAACAUGAAUCGCAUGAUUCAAGUUUGAAAGGCGGCGCAAGCUGUCACUUUAGGAUGAGCCCGCGGCGCAUUAGCUAGUUGGCGGAGUAAAAGCCCACCAAGGCGACGAUCGGUAGCUGGUCUGAGAGGACGAUCAGCCACACUGGGACUGAGACACGGCCCAGACUCCUACGGGAGGCAGCAGUGGGGAAUUUUCCGCAAUGGGCGAAAGCCUGACGGAGCAAGACCGCGUGGGGGAAGAAGGCUCUUGGGUUGUAAACCCCUUUUCUCUGGGAAGAAAGUUGUGAAAGCAACCUGACGGAGUCGACGCGGCC
rnacentral:rRNA from 1 species